CAUAAGCUUGGCUCUGACUUAUAGCAUAAUAAAGAACUAAAAAAUACACAUGGUUUUUGUAGAAAUAGGCGAGGGAAGGAAAAGAUACUUACCAGUUAAAAAAAUAAAAGAUGUUUUUUCCCUUUAGUAUUAUAGCCUUAAAUGAUACUUUGAUAUGUCCCGCUAACACCAGUGCUGAAGAUUAAUAAAAAGACGCAAGUCUGUAUUAAUUUAGUUCAUAAAACCUGGUCAACUUGGUGCCAGCAUCCGCGGUUAAACCAAGAAGGUUGAGUUAUGCAUUAUAUCGGUUAAAAGAUAGUUAGGCAAUUUUAAUGGGCUUAUUUAAUUGUUAUUUAGAAGUAAAAUUCGUAAAUACCCAAGAAACUUUAUUAUAGCUAAUGGGCUGAAGCUAUGACAGCCUUGAGGGAAACUGGGAUUAGAUACCCCAUUAUUCAAGGAAGUAAAAGAACAAAAGUUUACCAGAGUACUACGAAAAAUACGGACAUUUAAAACUCAAAGAGCUUGGCGGUGUUUUAGACUUUUUAGGGGAACCUGUCUCAUAAUCGACAAUCCACGAAAUACCUGACCUUUAUUUGCUUUCAGUUUGUAUACCGUCGUCGUCAGGUAACUUUUUAGAAAAAAGAAGUUAGCAAAUGGACCACUACAAUAAGUUCUUACGUCAGAUCAAGGUGCAGUCAAUAUAGAGGAGAGGAUGGGUUACAAUUAUUAGAAACAUAAAUACGGAACAGUAACUUGAAAUUGAACUAUGAAGGAGGACUUAAAAGUAAAAUAGAAUAUAUAAAUAUAUUGAAUUAAGCUCUGAAACGUGCACACAUCGCCCGUCGCUCUCGUUGAAAAACGAGAUAAGUCGUAACAUAGCAGAGGUAAUGGAAGUUGCCCCUAAACUAGA
rnacentral:ncRNA from 1 species